AUUGAACGCUGGCGGCAGGCCUAACACAUGCAAGUCGGACGGUAGCACAGAGGAGCUUGCUCCUCGGGUGACGAGUGGCGGACGGGUGAGUAAUGUCUGGGGAUCUGCCCGAUAGAGGGGGAUAACCACUGGAAACGGUGGCUAAUACCGCAUAACGUCGCAAGACCAAAGAGGGGGACCUUCGGGCCUCUCACUAUCGGAUGAACCCAGAUGGGAUUAGCUAGUAGGCGGGGUAAUGGCCCACCUAGGCGACGAUCCCUAGCUGGUCUGAAGGGAUGACCGCCGACACGUGAACUGAGACACAGUCCAGACUCCUACGGGAGGCAGCAGUGGGGAAUAUUGCACAAUGGGCGCAAGCCGGAUGCAGCCAUGCCGCGUGUAUGAAGAAGGCCUUCGGGUUGUAAAGUACUUUCAGCGGGGAGGAAGGCGAUGUGGUUAAUAACCUUGUCGAUUGACGUUACCCGCAGAAGAAGCACCGGCUAACUCCGUGCCAGCCGCCGCCGUAA
rnacentral:rRNA from 1 species